rnacentral:rRNA from 1 species
GACGAACGCUGGCGGCGUGCCUAAUACAUGCAAGUAGAACGCUGAAGAGAGGAGCUUGCUCUUCUUGGAUGAGUUGCGAACGGGUGAGUGACGCGUAGGUAACCUGCCUUGUAGCGGGGGAUAACUAUUGGAAACGAUAGCUAAUACCGCAUAACAAUGGAUGACACAUGUCAUUUAUUUGAAAGGGGCAAUUGCUCCACUACAAGAUGGACCUGCGUUGUAUUAGCUAGUAGGUGAGGUAACGGCUCACCUAGGCGACGAUACAUAGCCGACCUGAGAGGGUGAUCGGCCACACUGGGACUGAGACACGGCCCAGACUCCUACGGGAGGCAGCAGUAGGGAAUCUUCGGCAAUGGGGGCAACCCUGACCGAGCAACGCCGCGUGAGUGAAGAAGGUUUUCGGAUCGUAAAGCUCUGUUGUAAGUCAAGAACGAGUGUGAGAGUGGAAAGUUCACACUGUGACGGUAGCUUACCAGAAAGGGACGGCUAACUACGUGCCAGCAGCCGCGGUAAUACGUAGGUCCCGAGCGUUGUCCGGAUUUAUUGGGCGUAAAGCGAGCGCAGGCGGUUUGAUAAGUCUGAAGUUAAAGGCUGUGGCUCAACCAUAGUUCGCUUUGGAAACUGUCAAACUUGAGUGCAGAAGGGGAGAGUGGAAUUCCAUGUGUAGCGGUGAAAUGCGUAGAUAUAUGGAGGAACACCGGUGGCGAAAGCGGCUCUCUGGUCUGUAACUGACGCUGAGGCUCGAAAGCGUGGGGAGCGAACAGGAUUAGAUACCCUGGUAGUCCACGCCGUAAACGAUGAGUGCUAGGUGUUGGAUCCUUUCCGGGAUUCAGUGCCGCAGCUAACGCAUUAAGCACUCCGCCUGGGGAGUACGACCGCAAGGUUGAAACUCAAAGGAAUUGACGGGGGCCCGCACAAGCGGUGGAGCAUGUGGUUUAAUUCGAAGCAACGCGAAGAACCUUACCAGGUCUUGACAUCCCGAUGCUAUUUCUAGAGGUAGAAAGUUACUUCGGUACAUCGGUGACAGGUGGUGCAUGGUUGUCGUCAGCUCGUGUCGUGAGAUGUUGGGUUAAGUCCCGCAACGAGCGCAACCCCUAUUGUUAGUUGCCAUCAUUCAGUUGGGCACUCUAGCGAGACUGCCGGUAAUAAACCGGAGGAAGGUGGGGAUGACGUCAAAUCAUCAUGCCCCUUAUGACCUGGGCUACACACGUGCUACAAUGGUUGGUACAACGAGUUGCGAGUCGGUGACGGCAAGCUAAUCUCUUAAAGCCAAUCUCAGUUCGGAUUGUAGGCUGCAACUCGCCUACAUGAAGUCGGAAUCGCUAGUAAUCGCGGAUCAGCACGCCGCGGUGAAUACGUUCCCGGGCCU